rnacentral:rRNA from 1 species
AGUGAACGCUGGCGGUAGGCCUAACACAUGCAAGUCGAACGGCAGCACAGUAAGAGCUUGCUCUUACGGGUGGCGAGUGGCGGACGGGUGAGGAAUACAUCGGAAUCUACUUUUUCGUGGGGGAUAACGUAGGGAAACUUACGCUAAUACCGCAUACGACCUACGGGUGAAAGCAGGGGAUCUUCGGACCUUGCGCGAUUGAAUGAGCCGAUGUCGGAUUAGCUAGUUGGCGGGGUAAAGGCCCACCAAGGCGACGAUCCGUAGCUGGUCUGAGAGGAUGAUCAGCCACACUGGAACUGAGACACGGUCCAGACUCCUACGGGAGGCAGCAGUGGGGAAUAUUGGACAAUGGGCGCAAGCCUGAGCCAGCCAUACCGCGUGGGUGAAGAAGGCCUUCGGGUUGUAAAGCCCUUUUGUUGGGAAAGAAAAGCAGCAGGUUAAGACCCCGCUGUUCGGACGGUACCCAAAGAAGAAGCACCGGCUAACUUCGU